UAAUAAAAUCAGGUUGCCAUGGAUUAAGAUUUUGUUGAAGGUCGGGAAAGAUGGAGGGAGGGGGCAUCAACCUAACUUAUAUGCAUAGCCUUUUUCCGUAUCAAUUCUUUGUUUUUGUUUUAUAGGAGAAAAAACAUACGUAUAUUUUUGACAACGUACGUGAUUUUUCAAAAAUAAAGAAACCUGUCAGACAACCGCAUGACCAUUCCCAGCCAUGUUAAUAGCUGAGAAACGAUCCUCUACAGCCAUGAUGAUCACGAGGGCCAUCAAGCCAUUAUUCACGCUAUGAUCACACGGUCAUGAUUCCUCAACCAGGUUUAAGUUCCUGUCUCCUUAGUGAUUAAGGAUACAGAGGGUGUUUUUGUCCUAAGGAAAACGCUUUGUCCGUCUUUUUGCUUCUUGCUACGAGCCCCGCUGCCACGGUAAUAUCCAAGGGGAGAGUAGUGAUAUGAAAGUACGAGGAUGACCCUCAACUACUGCGGCGCUGCCUUUGUGGACCUUGUGGUGGUAUUUUAGAAUCCCGACCGGGGACUAUCUGCUACUGUUUUGGAGAAAACAGCGUUCUUGCUGAGGGAGGAGCACGUUGAAAACUCAGAUGAGAUGACAAGAUUUCUAAAAACGUUUCGAGGUAGAGGAAAUCAAUUACAAGAGAGGAUGGGUUGCCUGGUACAAACUGGUUUGGACUACAAUGUUGUCUCCAGCUUCAUUAAACAAGUUCCAAUGGUGCCAAACCAGACCAAAGAUGCACUUGAAAAGAAGAUUGAUUGCAUGACAAAUUUCCUAGGCUACUCGGUCAACUCACUGGAGGAAUUCCCAGCAUAUUUAUGCUAUGACUUUGAGAGGGUUAAACUUAGAUUUCGAAUGUAUAUUCGGCUGAGGGAAAAAGGUGCAGCAAAACCCAAAGUAUCGAUGGGCACAAUCCUUGCAUGUUCAUGUGCAAUUUGUAAAACAUUAUGUAGAUGUCCACUCUUAAGGACCAGCUAUGUGGGAAAGUUUAAGGAAUGCAUCAGCUUCAAGCCAAGGCUAGUUCUGCAUUUAAAUUGUGCACAGUUUAUAUGUAUUGUUUCAGUCAAAUUGAUGCCAUCCAUUCAUUACCACGGAUCUAAUCGCUGAGCGUUUUCUCUGUUUGCUGUAGUUUUUAACAAAUUUCUCUAUGAAUCAUCCAUCUCGUGUUCUCUGUUGCUCACAAUACCAUGUUGCUUGUUGUUCUCCAACUUGCAGAUCUGAGAUGGCAGCCAUUAAUUAAUGAAUGCACUAGUAUGUGGUCUUGUGCUGUGCGCGCAUCAGUGGCCAGCCUGAGUUUACCUGCUAAUGAAAAUGUCUCCUCCAUUAAAAAUCCAUCAUCUAUCCUUUUUUUUCAAAUCAGCCGUCUAUAUUGAAUGCUUUCGCUGACAAGAGACCAAGGAUAAGGUUUUGUCUAAUACACGGUUGUUGAGGGCUGCUGGUGUUACACAAGUGUAGCAGUGCAAGUGUCUGUGGUCAAUUCCAUCUUGGAGGUGUAACGUGGUUGUGUUAAGUGCUAACCCUAUCCAUAUUUGUUGUGUCAUUAAUACAUGUGUCGUUUUUGCUCUCUUACUAUCGAACAGUAGCCCAGCCUGGUAAGAACUUAUUGACCAUGCCAGGCGGUGCCCAUAUUUGCAUGCUUGUUCUGCCCAUGGGCCUGUCAAUCCAUUUGACACCUCUGCCAUAAUAGCUCAAAAGGUUAAUGGAGUUUUUGGAACUGGCUGGUUUGCUCUAAAGCCAUCCAUCAUGGGACUUUUAACCAUUGACUUGACGUUCAGGCUUCAGCAGAUGAUUUGGUUGCAUAGAUACAAGGUCGUCCUGUCCUGUAUGAAUGGGAUGAAACAGUGUGUUCGUCCCUUGUUUGCUGUGGACCGAAACUCAACAUUCACAGUUUGUUUUUUCCAAGACAAAGCAAAAUAUUCAUAGUUGAUGAGCGAAAGGUUCGUGCUCCUUACUGAAAGAAAAAAUAAAUAAAUUAAAAGAGUGUGCUCCUUAUAUCUUAGUCAAUGCUA